UGUUAUAGUUGUCUCUGGUUGGAGCUUGU
rnacentral:piRNA from 1 species